rnacentral:lncRNA from 1 species
GGUUAUGGGGUGGCUGUUUUUCUACGUGGACCAAGCAGGGUCCCAGUUCAAGUUUCUGCUGCCUAUCUGAUAAUCUUGAGGUAUUUAUGAAGGACUCCUUUGAAAGUUCUCUACUGAGUUUCCUUAAGGAAUUGGAAUAUUAUUCAGUCCAGGUUUAAGUCCUUCAGCAUCUGACAUUCUCCUGGCAACUGUAAUUGAAUCAAUGAUGACUCAUCUGAGAUGAGCAAGUUGGUCCAGUCAGACCAAACAAAAGACAUUCUAUAAUCAGGGGAGAAGUCUUCUCUAUAUCUCUCUUAUAUGAGCAAAUUUAAUGACCUCCACCAUCUCUAAGAACAAGCAGCUAUUUCUGUAGAGAAAGAUCAUCUUUGGAUAACAAUACAUGAUUUUAGGCUCUAAAAGUUAAAACGUGUUUGUAACGUUGAUAUUAUGCAGAGGUCUUGACAGAACUUGGCAGUCUCUGAGGCUACAGAGAAGUGUGAAAAAGAGCAUAGAGAUUUCAGAAGGAGGCAGAUUCAGUCAGACGUACUGAAUCCCGUUUGAUCUCAACUCAGGCACACUCCAGAUGGAC